GAUGAACGCUGGCGGCGUGCCUAACACAUGCAAGUCGAGCGAUGAUGUUUUCUUCGGAAAACUGAUUAGCGGCGGACGGGUGAGUAACACGUGGGCAACCUGCCUUGUAGAGGGGAAUAGCCUUCCGAAAGGAAGAUUAAUACCGCAUAACAUUACUAAGUGGCAUCACUUGGUAAUCAAAGGAGCAAUCCGCUACAAGAUGGGCCCGCGUCGCAUUAGUUAGUUGGUGGGGUAAUGGCCUACCAAGACGACGAUGCGUAGCCGACCUGAGAGGGUGAUCGGCCACAUUGGGACUGAGACACGGCCCAGACUCCUACGGGUGGCAG
rnacentral:rRNA from 1 species